rnacentral:lncRNA from 1 species
GAAAGUGUCACCAUGUUUUAGCAUUUAUGUUAUUCUUUCUUUCAUACUUGAGACAACUAAUUCAUCUCCAAUUGGUGGGCCAAGCAAGCAUCCAAGUGGUUUUAGGGCUUUUGAGAUGAUGCUUAGCAUUUAGCUUCCUCUAGUAAAGCCACUUCUUAAACUAGUUUUGAUAACCCUCGGUCACCUCCUCUAUAUACCAGGUGUAGUUUUCUUUCGAUUAUGACAAGACCAAGAUCUAUAGCUGCCAUGAUGUCUUCAUAUUUGCCAUAGUGAAACCCAGAAAGCACACAAAUAUUUUUGAGUUGUCUGCUCGAAGUCGGUGCCAUUGAAAAAAAUCUUAAAAAUAAUUCAUGAAUGCUUGAAAAACAAUGCUUGUAUUUAAAGAUUUUGGUGACAGAUAUAAUGAUACACAACUAUAAAUGGGUUGUUCGAUUUGUCAAAUGAUGCGUGAACCUCAUAGCUUAAUUAUUCAAAAACAAACAGUAAAAAGAAACAAACAAUGAUUGGAUAGAAAUCACACAAUUAAAAGCAAUAAUACAAAUAAUAAAUCAAAAGGAUAUGUAUUGGUAGUUGUAAUUAUGGCUCACAUCUUCCUCUGGUUUUGCAUCUAGAAACAAGUUGAACACACUCUAUGAGUUUAAAAUAGGCUUUCCAUCUAGUUUUUCCAUCCCGAGAUUGUAUCGUGCACGUUCUUUUUGGAAUAAUAGCCAUAAUGGAAAAUUACAUACUGUACGUAUCCACUGGGAUGGGUUUCAAGAGAUAAAAGGAUAUCAUCCAAUGAUUUUUUAUUCAAGUCAUCCCUAAUGAAUUUAAUCUUAUCUUCCUUAUUAUUGGACAACAUUCCUAAAGAAGUAUAUGGUUGUUUUUGUAACAUUGCAUUCUGGCAUAUUUACGACAAGAAACUAGAAGCCGUGUAGCUUUUUGUUUUCUUGCAUAAUUUUCUUUCCCCCAACCGGACAUGUAGGCAAAAAAUUUAGGAGGUAAUUCCCCUGCUAAUCGUACUUUAGUUUCAUUUAACCAACGAAUGUCAAUAAGGAUGUUAUUCUUCAUAAGCAGGCGUAUACAUUUAGAUCAAGCUUUGUAGAUUGUGAGGAGCACAUUUUGAGGAAGAUGAGGCAAUCGCUUGUGAAGCUUUGCUGGAGCUAUUUUCCUAUCCAUAUCUUGGCUGAAGAAUAUCGAUUAUUGUGCGAAAUUGAAGGAACCGCCUUCAAUAGUCACAUAGUAUUGUUAUCCACCACUUAAUUAAGGUGACCAAAGAAAAGAAUAAAUCUCAAGUUUUGAUUGGAUUAAAUAUCGCCUUCUAUUUCCUUGAGUUGUCUUUCUAGCUCUUUAACAUGAGAUACUAACUCUAGUGGUCAUAGAGCCCAAACAAGAUGUGAUUAACAAAAUUGGAUCAAGCCGUUUAAAUAACGCUUGACACGUAGAAGCACUUAAGGUGGUUGAAGAGGAUUUGUCUCACAGAGGUACUCAUGAUGUAUAGCACAAGUGAUGAAAGAGAAAAUAAUUGUUAAACAAAAGCACUUUAACAAAUAAUUUUAAUUUGCAAAAAAAUAGUUAAAGAAAAUUAAAAAAAGUUAAAUCACCGAAAAUAAAUAGAAAAAAAAUCUCAGUCUAGAUAUGAUGGGUCACUUAAAUUUAUUUUACUGUCUUCUUCAUGUGGUUGGUACUUGAGAUAUGUUUUUACAUCUCUGACCAUUAACUCUAAAAAUGACACCAUUUUUUGGAUUCUUAGUUUUAAUGAUCCCAUGUGGAAAAACAAUGUGCACAGUAAAUGGACUUGACCAUUGAAAGCGUAAUAUAUCUGAGGAGAUGUCCAAGCGAGAAUUGAAUAAAAAUAUUUUCUAACCUAGUGUGAAAGAUUUUCUCAUAAUUUUCUUGUCAUUAAAGACUUUCAUCCGCUUCUUGCAAUCCUUAGUAUUUUUAUCGUUGCGACUCUCCUCAGGUUUUGCCAACUAUAAUCUCCUUUUUAAAAAAUAGAUGGGAUAAAUGAUAUUUGGAUUAUUUUGUUUGUCGUCAAGGGAGGACGAGAUGAUUUCUGACAAUGUGUUUUCUUCUCCCAAGAAUGCAUACUCUAAAAUGUCAUGUAACAGAUUCUGCUCGAGUUUUGGUGAUGAUUUUGAUGAUGGGGUGUGAUUUUUCCUCGAUGGUGCCAAUUGCUCUAUCUUUGACUUCUAUUUGUCAAUAUCCAUGCAUGGUAAUGAAUCCAAUAAGACAUUCACCUCAUCAAUUGGUGGGAAUGAAUUAAAGAUGAAAACAAUGCAUAUGAAACGCUUGAGUCUCUAGAUUCACACUCAAGAUUUCACCAUGAGCUUAAUUCCUUUUAGUUCUAAUUAAUUCACGAGGGGGGUAUUUUCACUCCUCAUAAUCCUUACUGUAAUAAAUAUGGUAUCAACCGAUCAGUGUGCCAAAGGGUAAUGAUCUUCCACUAAGUGUCUAUCGACAAUGAGCCAAAGCAACCAUAUAAAUUAGAGAGGAAAAGAAAAUAAACUUACCAAACUAAGCUCAUAGAUCAUGUUGAGGCUUUACCUUCAACCAAAACUUAAAACUAAAUUGGUCAUUCAUAAUUGAACUAGAGGUAAAAUGAUAAUUUUAUUAAAAUACAUAGAAAAUAUAAAAAUGGAGGGAGAGUUACAGAAAAUGGAGUUCAAAAAUGGAUUCAGGGGUGUUAAAUUAAGAGGGAAUCCGUUAUUUAUAGAUACAAUCGAAUGAAAACAAUUCAGACACUCAGGAUUGGACCACGUUGCAAGCUUUGAUUUGGCUGGAACACAUCAUCAGUCAAUACCAUAUCUGUAUUUUAGUCCAAUAAUAUGCUACCACAUCAUCGGUCAAUGUCACAUCAGCAUUUCGGUCCAAUAGAAUCCUACCACAUCAUUGGUCAACGCCAUAUUAUCAGUCAAUGUCAAAUCAUUAGUCCAAUAGGAUGCUGCCACAUCAUCGGUCAAUGCCAUGUCAUCAUACAGUAUAUGUGAACAAUGCAGUACUUGUGAAUAGUAUCGUAUAUGUGAGCAAUAUCAAUACCCCAUUAUGCUCAUUUUAAGGUUUUAAACCAUUCCAUAUUUAAAAAUACUAUCCGUUUUACUGUUUGAAUUUUCAUUAGUCAUGAAAUGGUCAAAAUACUUAAAUUAUGAUAAAACACAUAUAAUAAAAGUUUAGAGGAUUUAAACACAUAAGAGUAGAAAUGUUAAUGAGACUUGGAUCACAAAAUGAUAAUUUAUAAAAAUGCAUUCUCCAGUACUCAACAAUUCACAAGCUUUUGAUGAAAUUAUUCUUGGGUUUAAUGAGGUUGGACCAUGCUCAUAUUUUGGGGAGGUUUAUAUUAAUUUUGCUUAACCUUUUCUAUUUAUAUAAUUAAGUGCUUUUGAUUUUGCUAACAAAUUCUUGUAAAAUGAGUGUAAUAUAAUCCAAAAUAAUUUAAGCAAUAAUCUGUAUUAAUUGAUAUUUAAAAUAAAAUAUUUACAAAUUACCACUUGAAUUUAAAUUUUUUAUUUUUUUGGUAAUUUAAAAUUGUCACCAUAGUUUGUAUUGUUUGAAAAAUUAAACAAACUAUAAAAUAAUAAAAGUGAUAAAUAAUUUCUUGGAGUAUGAAAUAAUAAUCAGUUCUACAUAUGAGAGGUUUGUAUUAUUUUCGAGCAACAAAAUCGCCUUCAACUCUAGCAACAACGACUUAUCGAAGGCAGAAAGUUUCCCCAAACCAAGAGGCUAGCUACUUGGUCCAAGCGGCUAACUGCUUCGAAGGCAGAGAGUCUACAUGCCCAACAUGUAGCAGUUAGCCUUAUAUAUUACCAGCUAGCUGAUUGCUCAACUUAAGUCAGGGGAACAACUUUCACUUCAUCUUCUUCAUCAGUUUUUUCACUCUCUGUCUAAACCACAAACCUUAUUUCACUCUCUUUUUGAAAAUUGUCCUUCAUUUAUGCUUUCUUGCAAUUUUAAUAUUUCCCAAUCAUUAUUCAUCACUUCAACUUCAUUAUCCAUGAUUUAAAACAUGAUUUCAUCACUCAUUUUUUAAAUUCCCAAAUUUUUUUAAAAAAAAUCCUAGGUUGGCCAAAACAAAAUCCUUCCAAUUGCCCCAACUUUGACCAUUUUUCCAUCAAAUUACAUCUACUACGUGUUGUGCACAUAGAUAUUGUAAGGAUUGGUUUUCUUUUGCAUUACGUAUAUUCUUUUUUGUCCCAAUUUCAUGUUUUGGUUAUGUGGAAGGUAGGGGAGGAUUCUUUUACGAUGUGGUUAAGUUACUCAGUAAUAUAACUUACAUCAUCAACUCAACUUAUAUCUAAUAACCCCAAGAGUGCUUUGACAAUUAAGAGUUUAAUUACAGGCAACUCAAGCUAUGUCUAAUAACCUAAGAGUGCUUUCAAAAUUAAGAGUUUAAUUAUCACCUGUAUCGAAAGUUAUUGGUACAUUUAUACACAAAUGAGUGGAACUAAUUUUUUCUAGUACACAAAUAAUUCUUAGUCAAUUAAAUAAAAUUCGAGCAAGUCCUUCGAUCAUAAAUGCAUUUCGCGUUCAUUUACAUUUUGAUGAUUAUAGGAGAAACAAUUGAUAAUUUUGAGCGACCAUAAGAGGAAAGAAUUGAUGUUUAGAGAAGUCUCUUAUUCUUAGAAAAAGAAAGCAGUAGUAGAUAAAUUUUCAUGAAGCAUAUUGAACAUGGUCUGUUGUAUUCUGUAGCAAUGAUGGAAAGUUCAGAAUUGUAACAAAAUCUUGCAAACUAUAGGAUAUAAAAUUUUCGUCACAAGAUGUCUACUAAAUAAAAUUGAAGAUAUAUGGUGUACAUUGCAUUAAUUUUGACAUAAUCAUGAACUUGCAACAUGACAUUUGAUAUAUGUGACAGACGAUGUUUUUUUUUUUUUUAUAGAGACAGACAAUAUUGUACAUGAACCAUAAACAUCAAACAUGAAACAGAUAGGAAUGAAAAAAAUUUUGGCACCAUUUUUUAUGACUUGCAACAAUGGAAGUCAAAUAUGCAAUACGUGAAGUAAACAUGCAACAUAAAAUCUACUUGCAAAAAAAUUACAUGAAACAUGCAACAACUAAGGUUAAACAUGAAACAACUGAGAUUAAACAUGAGUACGAUGUAAACAUGCAAUAAAUCACAUUAAAUAUGCAACAAUUGAGGUCAAACAUGCAACAUAGAUGUCAAACAUGAAAUGGGUGGAAAAAUUCUCAUUUUUGACUUUAUUCAAAACAUGCAAUAAUUGAAGUGAAACAUGCAACAUGUGGUGUAAACAUACAACAUGAAAUUUGCAUGUGAAAAAAUUACGUGAAAUAUGCACCAACUGAGGUUAAACAUGAGUACGAUGUAAACAUGCAAUAGAUCACGUGAAACAUUGAACAACUGAGGUCAAACAUGCAACAUGAAUGUUAAACAUGAAACAUGUGAUAAAAUCCUCAUUUUUUGGCUAUAUUCAGGACAUGAAACAAUUAAAGUCAAACAUGCAACAUGUGAUGUAAACAUGCAACUUAAAAUUGACAUAUAAAAAGAUUAUAUAAAACAUACAACAACUAAGGUCAAACAUACAACAACUAACGCCAAACAUGCAACAACUAAGGUUAAAUAUGAGUAAGAUUUAAAUAUGCAAUAAAUCACGUAAAACAUACAAAGACUGAGUAAAAAUGCAACAUGAACGUCAAACAUGAAACGAGUGGAAAAUUCUCAUUUUUUUUUUUUUUGCUUUAUUCAAGACAUGAAACAAUUGAAAUCAAACAUGCAACAUGUGAUACAAACAUGCAACAUGAAAUUUGCGUGUUUUAUAUAUAUAUAUAAUAUGCAACAAUUGAGAUCAAACAUGCAACAACUAAAAUUAAACAUCCAACAACUGAGGUUAAAUAUGAGUACGAUUUAAACAUGCAAAAGAUCACGUGAAACAUGCAAUAACUAAGGUCAAACAUGUAACAGGGACAUUAAACAUGAAAUGAGCGGGAAAAUUAUUAUUUUUUAGCUUUAUUCAAGACAUGAAACAAUUAAAGUCAAACAUGCAACUAGUGAUGUAAACAUGCAACAUAAAAUUUACAUAUAAAAAAUUUACAUGAAACUAGCAACAAUUGGGAUUAAACAUAAAUACGACAUAAACAUACAACAGAUCACGUGAAACAUGCAACAACUGAGAUCAAACAUGCAACAUAGACAUCAACAAUGGGUGGGAAAUUCCUCAUUUUUAUCUUUAUUAAGGACAUACAACAAUUGAAAUCAAAUUUGCAAUAUGUGAUGUAAACAUGUAACAUAAAACUUGCAUGUAAAAAAAUUACAUGAAACAUGCAACAACUAAGGUUAAGAAUGAGUAUGACGUAAAAAUGCAACAGAUCACGUGAAACAUGAAACAAUUGAGGUCAAACAUGUAACAUAAAUGUUAAACAUGAAAUAUGUAGAAAAUUCCUUAGUUUUUGGCUUUACUCAAGACAUGCAACAAUUGAAGUCAAAACACAACAUGUGAUGUAAGCAUGCAAUAUAAAAUUUAUAUGUGAAAAAUUAUAUGAAAACAUGCAAAAACUGAUGUUAAACAUGUAACAGCUGUAGUUAAAUAUGAGUACGACGUAAACAUAUAACAGAAUAGGUGAUAUAUGUGACAGACGAUGUUUAACAUGCAACAUGGAUAUCAUACAUGAAAUGACAGGAAAAUAAAUUUUUAGAGUAUUUAGAAUAAUAAAGUUGAGAUAAGUGAUGGUAUACUUGAAAAUUUUGAUGUUAAAUAUAAGAAAUCUCAUAUUAAAUAA